GAAGAUCCGAUUUGUCCAUGUUGUAGAGCUUGUUUAUCAAAAUGAUUUUGUGAAAUAUCAAGUUGAUCGAGUACCUAAUGGUAUUUGAUCGGAGAAGAUAUAACUUGAAAAAAAAUGAAAGAAAGUUACCAGCGCGCACUUGAUUACAACCUGGAAGAUUUUUUUUUUUUUUCCUUUCUUUCUCAAAAGGCUUUUUGGUCGUAGUCCGUUCCGUUAUACUAAUCAUCAUUGCAAAUCGAAGUCGACCUUCACCGCCGAUCCGAGUUCCGAUCACUGAGUCAUCCGGUAGAGGUGUGCUAGCGACUCAGCGUGUCGGAUUUCGCUAUCGGAAACAGACCCACAUCUUAAGCCUCAGAGUGUCCCAUUUUCCAGCCAAGAAUGGCAGUGGGAGAAGAUUGUGCAGUGGUUAAACAAAUUCUGGAAUCAUACAGGGCAUCCGGUUAGCUAGUGAAUAUCCAAAAAAAAAUGUGAUGACAGUGCCGACUUAUAUUUUUGUUUUAACUUUCCUAACAAAUGUGACCCUUUUGUUUGGGGGAUUCUAUAUUCAAGGAGUGUUUAAUCAGAGCCAUCAAAAUUUUAACCAAACAAUGAUUAUUUGAUCCUCUUGAAUAUAUAAUCCCAUCCGAUACUCAUAUCCGGUUAAUAAGAUGGCUGCUUAAAGCAAAAAUUCCCAUGAUGAAAGGAAAAAAAAAAAAAAAAACAGAACUCACCAUCACUAACAGAAAGCACCAUUGUGCAAUCCAUAACAGUUGGUAUUCUGUGGGCCACUGUGAUGACAGUGCAGUCUGCAAAUUCUGUUCUGAUGGUUUUCUGUAGUAGAGAAUCUGUAGCAUUGUCAAUUGAGGCAGUGGCUUCAUCAAGAGCUAAGAUCUUCCUUCUCUUCAGUAGAGCUCUCCCUAGACAGAAUAACUGCCUCCUAUAAUCCGUAACCUCAGAUACUUAAUCCAGAGGCUCUGUUCGCAUCAUGAUUAUUUCGUUUGUGCGAUAAUAAGGUAGAAGUAACUUCUUACAUGGAAAACGAGACAUCGAUCAAAGUAGUUCAAUAUGAGAUGGAGUAUGCAUGUAAGUUGCUAUUACGGUGUAAUGUUGUUUUAAGGUCCAGCUACAUGAUUUGCAUGAUAACUGUUGUGAUUUUGCUUUUUCUGUCUGGUCCAACAUGAUGACUUGCCAUUGUAGCAUGUUAAUGUAUGGUAUAUUGUCCACGUGCUGAGUGUGUAGAUUUUUUUAAUUACAAAGCUUAAAUGCUGCAAUUAUUGCUUUGUCGUUAAAUGGAGUCAGAUUUUGCACCAAGGUAUUCUAUUCCAGAAGCUACCAAUAACGGUAUCAUCCUCCCAAAAAACUGUAUCCAAUGUUGCACGAUCAUUUUGACUCUGCUGGAACUUCAAAAGAUUGUGUUUGAUUGAAUGUGGAACUCUCAAAAUCAUUCCUGCACCAUCUGAGGUCUUCCUCAGAAGUUCUGUCAGGUCUUUCAAGCUUAAUAAAUAUAUUCAAGACUAAAUGACAUGAAUACAUUAGCACUUCUCCCUUUCGCCGACAACUCUUUGAUUUUCUGCAGGGCAGUGGGAGAAGAUUGUGCAGUGGUUAAACAAAUUCUGGAAUCAUACAGGGCAUCCGGUUAGCUAGUGAAUAUCCAAAAAUCCUCGAUUCUUUUCAGCUUGAACACGACAAUUGAAAGAAGAAUGGAGUGCCUAGAAAUCCUGGGAUUUGGUACUUGUUCAGCAAAUACUUGGGGUUGCCUUAUAUCAUCGGAAGAUCCAAGAGGGCAGUGUUGAUGUACAUCAAGGAAAGGGUGUUGAGCAAAAUCAAAGGGUGGAAAGGGGAACUCCUGAAUCCUGCUGGAAGAGAGGUUUAAGCCAAAUCAGUCCUCUUAGCGCUGCCCACUUGUGCUAUGGCCUGUGUUUAAAUCCCCUUUGGCAUGUGUAAGAUGUUGAAUUCAAAUAUUGCUCAAUCUUUUAGAGUGGAGCUAAGGGCACGAGGAAAAUUCACUGUAUUCAGAGUCAAUGCGUUGAAUGAAUUUGACGAGUUCGGUCAGGUGCAUUUGAAGGAAGCAGUUGAGCCGAAAAAACCAGGCAAUGAUUCAGUCUAAUUGGUGGAGUCCACCAGCCCAGGGUAUCCUUAAGAUUAAAGUUGAUGGAAGCCGGGAGUUGAGUUGUAAUGAGAGAUGCGUUGGGUAAUUUGCAAAGAGCAGAAGCUUUUCCAAUUGGCAAUGCUACAGCGGCAGACACAGUUGAAGCUUUGGGAUUUCUAUUUGCGGUUUUGAUGGCAAAGAACUAUGGUAGGAUGGAGUAUAUUUUGGAAGGGUAUGCUCAGAGCAUUGUUAAGAUGCUGCGAGGAAGGAUUAGUGCCAAGGCCCGCUUGGGAGUGAUCAUCAAAGAUUGUCUUAAUUUAGUUCAUUUUCUUCAGUGUUGUUCUUUUUAUUUUGUUUCUUGCAAUUGUAAUAGGGUGGCUCAUGACUCGUGAGAUAGCUAAAUAUGCCCUAUCCGCUGAGACUUCUAUGUCAUGGCAGGGAGAUUUCCCCAGCCGGAUUCCUAGA